GAGUGGCACCUUUAAGGCCAACGAAAUUUUAUUCAAGUGUAGACAGGUGCAGUAACCAUGGGAUACAGAAGAUGCAUAGCAGCAUAACAUGACAACUAAAAAAACACACGUUCUGGAAGAGUGAACGGUCCAGAAGGAGGCUAAAAUAUUGCUGACAAGUUUGCAGAUCGCAAAAGCUGAUGACAUUGUCACCGAGGAUGCUGCAGA